rnacentral:lncRNA from 1 species
AAGAUUCCUUUUGCUGAGGAAGAUUGGCUUUGAGCUAACAUCUGUACUUGCCUGUAACGCCUGCCACAGCAUGACUUGAUGAGCGGUGCGUAGGUCCACGCCUGGAAUCCAAACCUGUGAACCCCCCAGGUGCCGAAGUGGAGUGUGCAAACUUAACUGCUAUGCCACCAGCAGAAGAGCCUUUGAGUGAAGACCUGGGAACUUGGAAAAGACUUCUUACUCCGUUACAAUCUCAGGAGUCAUGGGAACUAAUUGCAAAUCAAAUGGCUCUAAUUUGCUACUUUCAAGUCAAGGAGGCCACAGAAGAAGAAUUUCAAGAAGGGAGUAGAGGACAAUGUUAAAUGCUGCAGAGAGAAAGUAAAAUGGGAACUGGGAAGAUUCCAUCAGAUUUGCAAUUAGACUUUGUGAACUAAAAUAUCUCUUGUGUCCUGGGAUACCAAGAGAUUUUUUUCCUUGCGUAAUUUUGAUGAAAUAGGUCAUAUACACAUGGUGCUAAAUUCAAAACACAGAAGAGGAAGACAGCGAAAAGCCUCUGGGUCUCCCCUCCCAUCCCUGCACCCCAGGCGCCCAGGUUCCUUUCCAGGAAGCAAACAAUAUUACCAAUUUAUUGUGCAUCCUUACUCUAUACACAUCUAAUAAAUAAGUGUAUAUACUCUUUUUUCUGUUUUUACACACAGGGUAUCAUAAACAUUAAAUAGUUGAGGAAAUGGGGACAAUGCUUUAUCUCCUCUGUAUCUUAGCACCUCGAUUAGCCUGGUUUCUCCACAUCACGGUCUCUCCUUAAGCCCUGAGCAUGAAUCACUUUGAUCCCUUUGACAGAUGAU